rnacentral:rRNA from 1 species
UCCUACGGGAGGCAGCAGUGGGGAAUAUUGCACAAUGGGGGAAACCCUGAUGCAGCGACGCCGCGUGCGGGAAGAAGGCCUUCGGGUUGUAAACCGCUUUCAAUUGGGAAGAAGGGAUGAGAGUUAAUACCUCUCUGACUUGACGGUACCUUUAGAAGAAGCACCGGCUAAUUUCGUGCCAGCAGCCGCGGUAAUACGAAAGGUGCAAGCGUUGUUCGGAUUUACUGGGCGUAAAGAGAUCGUAGGUGGUUUGUUAAGUCGGAUGUGAAAUCCCAGGGCUCAACCCUGGAACUGCAUUCGAUACUGGCAGACUAGAGUUUGGGAGGGGUAAGCGGAAUUCCGUGUGUAGCAGUGAAAUGCGUAGAUAUACGGAGGAACACCUGAGGCGAAGGCGGCUUACUGGACCAAUACUGACACUGAGGAUCGAAAGCAUGGGUAGCAAACAGGAUUAGAUACCCUGCUAGUCCACGCCCUCUCGAU